rnacentral:lncRNA from 1 species
GAUGGAUUGUCGACGCAACGACGGUAUGAAAAUCGAAAGCACAACGCCAAACGGCAUCAGCACGCCAUCCAAUUGGCAGCACACACAGCUCAAAGGCAAUGCACGUCGCCCAAGCUUGCCACAAUUACAGAAUGAGGCCUAUCGCGUGUGCAAGCUUGAGCACAAGGCGCAUGAUGUGAUGUGCAUAAACUGCGCGCCUCACUCCCGCAGAUGUGACGUGCACGUAGGUGCACUUCCCAUGUUGGCUGAGUGCCGGCGUGUGUGUGUGUGCGGCUCAUGGGGGUUAUGCGAAUAAGGGAAAACUUUCUCAUGGCCCUUUUUGCAAGAUUUUUUCACCGUUACCUUUUUU